GAUGAACGCUAGCGGGAGGCUUAAUACAUGCAAGUCGAACGGUAACAGCAGAGUUUACUUUGGCUGACGAGUGGCGCACGGGUGAGUAACGCGUACACUACCUACCUCGUACUGGGGAAUAGCCUCUGGAAACGGAGAAUAAUACCCCCAUGGUCCCGCAAGGGUAAAGCUCCGGCGGUAUGAGAUGGGUGUGCGUCCCAUUAGCUAGUUGGUGAGGUAACGGCUCACCAAGGCGACGAUGGGUAGGGGCGUGAGAGCGUGGCCCCCCACACGGGUACUGAGACACGGACCCGACUCCUACGGGAGGCAGCAGUAAGGAAUAUUGGACAAUGGGCGAAAGCCUGAUCCAGCCAUCCCGCGUGCAGGAUGACUGCCCUAUGGGUUGU
rnacentral:rRNA from 1 species